GCCUAACACAUGCAAGUCGAACGCGACUGGGGCUUCGCCUCAGUUGAGUGGCGAACGGGUGAGUAACACGUGGGUGACCUACCUUGAAGGGGGGAUAACGUCCCGAAAGGGACGCUAAUACCGCAUAACAUCCUCUUUUGAAGGAGGUGGAGAUCAAAGCCGGGGAUCGCAAGACCUGACGUUGAAGAGGGACGCGGGUCCGAUUAGCUAGUUGGUGAGGUAACGGCUCACCCGGCAACGAUCGGUAGUCGGCCUGACAGGGCGGACGGCCACUCUGGGACGAGACACGGCCGAGACUCCUACGGGAGGAAGCAGGGGCGAAUUGGUCGCAUGGGCGCAAGCCUGACGACUCAACGCCGAGUGGAGGAUGAAGGUUUUCGAUCGUAGACUCGUGUUGGCC
rnacentral:rRNA from 1 species